GUACUAUACAUGCAGUCGAGCGGACAGAUGGGAGCUUGCUCCCUGAUGUUAGCGGCGGACGGGUGAGUAACACGUGGGUAACCUGCCUGUAAGACUGGGAUAACUCCGGGAAACCGGGGCUAAUACCGGAUGGUUGUUUGAACCGCAUGGUUCAAACAUAAAAGGUGGCUUCGGCUACCACUUACAGAUGGACCCGCGGCGCAUUAGCUAGUUGGUGAGGUAACGGCUCACCAAGGCAACGAUGCGUAGCCGACCUGAGAGGGUGAUCGGCCACACUGGGACUGAGACACGGCCCAGACUCCUACGGGAGGCAGCAGUAGGGAAUCUUCCGCAAUGGACGAAAGUCUGACGGAGCAACGCCGCGUGAGUGAUGAAGGUUUUCGGAUCGUAAAGCUCUGUUGUUAGGGAAGAACAAGUACCGUUCGAAUAGGGCGGUACCUUGACGGUACCUAACCAGAAAGCCACGGCUAACUACGUGCCAGCAGCCGCGGUAAUACGUAUGUGGCAAGCGUUGUCCGGAAUUAUUGGGCGUAAAGGGCUCGCAGGCGGUUUCUUAAGUCUGAUGUGAAAGCCCCCGGCUCACCGGGAGGGUCAUUGGAAACUGGGGAACUUGAGUGCACAGAGGAGAGUGAACUCCACGUGUAUCGGUGAAAUGCGUACAGAUGUGGAGGAACACGAGUGGCGAACGCGACUCUCUGGU
rnacentral:rRNA from 1 species